GCGGAGGAAAAGAAACCAACAGGGAUUGCCCUAGUAACGGCGAGUGAAGCGGCAUCAGCUCAAAUUUGAAAUCUGGCUCUUUCAGAGUCCGAGUUGUAAUUUGCAGAGGGCGCUUUGGUGUCGGCAGCGGUCCAAGUUCCUUGGAACAGGACGUCACAGAGGGUGAGAAUCCCGUACGUGGUCGCUGACCUACACCGUGUAAAGCCCCUUCGACGAGUCGAGUUGUUUGGGAAUGCAGCUCUAAAUGGGAGGUAAAUUUCUUCUAAAGCUAAAUACUGGCCAGAGACCGAUAGCGCACAAGUAGAGUGAUCGAAAGAUGAAAAGCACUUUGGAAAGAGAGUCAAACAGCACGUGAAAUUGUUGAAAGGGAAGCGCUUGCAGCCAGACUUGCUUGUAGUUGCUCAUCCGGGCUUUUGCCCGGUGCACUCUUCUGCGAGCAGGCCAGCAUCAGUUUGGGCGGUUGGAUAAAGGCCUCUGUCACGUACCUUCUCUCGGGAAGGCCUUAUAGGGGAGGCGUCAUGCAACCAGCCUGGACUGAGGUCCGCGCAUCUGCUAGGAUGCUGGCGUAAUGGCUGUAAGCGGCCCGUCUUGAAACACGGACCAAGGAGUCUAACAUCUAUGCGAGUGUUUGGGUGUCAAGCCCGAGCGCGCAAUGAAAGUGAACGGAGGUGGGAUCCCGCAAGGGUGCACCAUCGACCGAUCCUGAAGUCUUCGGAUGGAUUUGAGUAAGAGCAUGGCUGUUGGGACCCGAAAGAUGGUGAACUAUGCUUGAAUAGGGUGAAGCCAGAGGAAACUCUGGUGGAGGCUCGCAGCGGUUCUGACGUGCAAAUCGAUCGUCAAAUUUGGGCAUAGGGGCGAAAGACUAAUCGAACUAUCUAGUAGCUGGUUCCUGCG
rnacentral:sRNA from 1 species